UAAUUUACAGUUUUGACCAGUAGGGGUGAACCUUAAUUAAUUGCGCUGGACACUUGAAUUUUAUUUUCUGAAAAUGUUCAGUCGGUUUAUUUUCUGUGAUUGAGUGAGUGAGUAUGGUUUUACGCCGCUUUUAGCAAUAUUCCAGCAAUAUCACGGCGG